GAUGAACGCUAGCGACAGGCCUAACACAUGCAAGUCGAGGGGCAGCACAUGAGUAGCAAUACGAUGGUGGCGACCGGCGCACGGGUGAGUAACACGUAUGCAACCUGCCUGUAAGAGGGGAAUAACCCGGAGAAAUUCGGACUAAUACCGCAUAAUACCACGAGACUGCAUGGUUUUGUGGUUAAACAUUUAUGGCUUACAGAUGGGCAUGCGUAUGAUUAGAUAGUUGGUAGGGUAACGGCCUACCAAGUCUACGAUCAUUAGGGGUUCUGAGAGGAAGGUCCCCCACACUGGUACUGAGACACGGACCAGACUCCUACGGGAGCAGCAGUGAGGAAUAUUGGUCAAUGGGCGAGAGCCUGAACCAGCCAAGUCGCGUGAAGGAAGAAGGUUCUAUGGAUUGUAAACUUCUUUUGCAGGGGAAUAAAGGACGGUACGUGUACUUGUUUGUAUGUACCUUGCGAAUAAGGAUCGGCUAACUCCGUGCCAGCAGCCG
rnacentral:rRNA from 1 species